rnacentral:tRNA from 1 species
GCCUCCGUGGUGUAGUAGUCAGCACACUCGGCGUUUAUUCGAGAGAUCCGUGGUUCAAGUCCCGGCGAGGGCA